rnacentral:misc_RNA from 1 species
AAGUCGUAACAAGGUUUCCGUAGGUGAACCUGCGGAAGGAUCAUUAACACGUAUCCAAACGUUAAACCCCCCCCGUGAACCUUCAUCGUGCUCUAGUGGGCCACUGAUAAACACAGCAAUUCCUGGUAAAUCAUUGUCUGAACAAGCCUUUGAGUCAGGAACCUCUGUGCAGUGCGAGCUACACCCACUAUAGAAGCGCUAGUUCCAUCGGCAUUGUUUCCCCAAGCAGCCAGUGCGUGAAAGCAACACGCGGGCAGAGCUUUGCCAAAGGGUCCCCAUGCCCCUUCCUUCUGCCGAUUUCACAUACAAAGCUCCAUUUUCAAUUAUGGAUGGGGUAAAACCGAACAACUGUUAACAAUGGAUAUCUUGGUUCUC